rnacentral:snRNA from 1 species
UUGAACGCAGGUGAUGAAUAUG